UUUCAGGCAAUUUUGGUAGUUGUACGUUUGUACCAGACACCUGUUGCCAGUAUCGGGUUAGUUUCGGGCAAUGCCACCAGAUGUGUAUCAUGGUUCCUCGGGCCGUUUGGCAUCUCCAGCAGAUAUCUGAGCUUUCGGGGUAGCUGUGUUUGAGCCGUGUAGGAACUAAAUACCAUCUGUAGAGUAUCUUCCGAGACAGUUCCAGGUGGGUUGUGC